rnacentral:rRNA from 1 species
GCGUGACGGCGCGAGCAGGUGCGAAAGCAGGUCAUAGUGAUCCGGUGGUUCUGAAUGGAAGGGCCAUCGCUCAACGGAUAAAAGGUACUCCGGGGAUAACAGGCUGAUACCGCCCAAGAGUUCAUAUCGACGGCGGUGUUUGGCACCUCGAUGUCGGCUCAUCACAUCCUGGGGCUGAAGUAGGUCCCAAGGGUAUGGCUGUUCGCCAUUUAAAGUGGUACGCGAGCUGGGUUUAGAACGUCGUGAGACAGUUCGGUCCCUAUCUGCCGUGGGCGCUGGAGAACUGAGGGGGGCUGCUCCUAGUACGAGAGGACCGGAGUGGACGCAUCACUGGUGUUCGGGUUGUCAUGCCAAUGGCACUGCCCGGUAGCUAAAUGCGGAAGAGAUAAGUGCUGAAAGCAUCUAAGCACGAAACUUGCCCCGAGAUGAGUUCUCCCUGACCCUUUAAGGGUCCUGAAGGAACGUUGAAGACGACGACGUUGAUAGGCCGGGUGUGUAAGCGCAGCGAUGCGUUGAGCUAACCGGUACUAAUGAACCGUGAGGCUUAACCUUACAACGCCGAAGGUGUUU